UGAUACCGCAUAAGAUUGUAGUUUCGCAUGAAACAGCAAUUAAAGGAGUAAUCCGCUAUGAGAUGGACCCGCGUCGCAUUAGCUAGUUGGUGAGGUAACGGCUCACCAAGGCGACGAUGCGUAGCCGACCUGAGAGGGUGAUCGGCCACAUUGGGACUGAGACACGGCCCAGACUCCUACGGGAGGCAGCAGUGGGGAAUAUUGCACAAUGGGGGAAACCCUGAUGCAGCAACGCCGCGUGAGUGAUGAAGGCCUUCGGAUUGUAAAACUCUGUCUUCAGGGACGAUAAUGACGGUACCUGAGGAGGAAGCCACGGCUAACUACGUGCCAGCAGCCGCGGUAAUACGUAGGUGGCAAGCGUUGUCCGGAUUUACUGGGCGUAAAGGGAGCGUAGGUGGAUAUUUAAGUGGGAUGUGAAAUACUCGGGCUUAACCUGAGUGCUGCCUUCCAAAACUGGAUAUCUAGAGUGCAGUAGAGGAAAGUAGAAUUCC
rnacentral:rRNA from 1 species